AGAACGAACGCUGGCGGCAUGCCUAACACAUGCAAGUCGAACGCUUCCGGGGCUUCGGUCGCGGAGGAGUGGCGCACGGGUGAGUAGCGCGUGGGAACCUGCCCUGUUGUGGGGGAUAACCGAGGGAAACUUCGGCUAAUACCGCAUACGCCCCGGGACUUGGUCUUCGGAUUAGGUCUGGGGGGAAAGAUUGAUCGCAGCAGGAGGGGCCCGCGUCGGAUUAGCUGGUUGGUGGGGUAACGGCUCACCAAGGCGAUGAUCCGUAGCUGGUCUGAGAGGAUGAUCAGCCACACUGGGACUGAGACACGGCCCAGACUCCUACGGGAGGCAGCAGUGGGGAAUAUUGGACAAUGGGGGCAACCCUGAUCCAGCAAUGCCGCGUGAGUGAUGAAGGCCUUAGGGUUGUAAAGCUCUUUCGCCCGCGACGAUGAUGACGGUAGCGGGAGAAGAGCCCCGGCUAACUUCGUGCCAGCAGCCGCGGU
rnacentral:rRNA from 1 species